rnacentral:lncRNA from 1 species
UGCACGUGGAAAAACAUCUGAUGAUGCAGAGACCCUCCAGGGUGCUUCUGUUCAGGAUAAUCAUCUGUGGAGAACUUUAAGAACAGUGACCUACAGUGACCUUUCCCAUCCAGUGAAAUGUUGGUGACAUUGGAGCCUUGAGGUAUUCUUCAUGAUCCAGUCUCUGAGUUGGAGAACAUACACAUUUUUACAAGGAAUCCAGGUGAUGUUUGUGGCUUUCCAGAGGAGGGACUGAAGAGAAGAGGCUGGCAGAGGAAAAACAAGUCACAUGAAUUAAUUAGCAAGCAACGAGAGCCUCCACCGAGGCACUGCUAACAGAGAACAAGUAAGUGGUGUGUCUCCUGCACUCACUGGUGGGAAAAGGAAGAUUGACAGAACUCAG